UCAAUCAAUUUAGCCCGGGUCGGGGGUGCGCCGCGCGGCAACAGCCAGCGCGAGAGAUUAUUAGCUGCCGCUCUCCUUCUCUCUUGCUUUCCGUUCGUCCUGCUGUGCGUUCGGUCGGCGCUGUGGGAAAUGCUCGCGCGAAUGUCGCCCCCGCGCGCGGGACUUGGGAUGGACGGCGCGACGGUGGUAUCGAGCAGCCAGCGGCGCGCGCCACAGCAGCGACUCGAUAAUCUAGCCUCGAGCAUUGCGCAUGGCUGGAUUUCCAGGUUCGCAGACAACAAUAGAGAUGAAUGUCAACGAAGCCGAACUAUAAUUGAUCGUUGAGCGACUAUUCGAUCUAUCUGUGCGUAUAUUUUCGAGCUGAAUUCCAAGAAAAAUAUAGCAGCGCUAUUUAAAAAAUGACAGUAACGACAGAGCUGAAGGAAAUCAAAGAAAUGCUGCGCAAGAUAAUUAGAGACAUGACGAAAAUAAGAGAAAGCCAGAGGCAGAUGAAAGAGGAGAUGUACGAAGUCAAAGGCGAUCUGCGAAGAUUUCGUGAUUUAUGGAAGAAGGAAAAAGCCGAGAUAGAGAACAGGCUGGCAAAGCUCGAGGAGGACAAAGUCAAGAGGGAGCUCGUGCAGAGACUCGUUAGAUUCGAGAAAAUGGACGAAGCCAUCGAACUGAAGGAGAAAAGGUCCAUCGGCUUGCCCGGCUCGGAGUCGUCCCUGCGACACAGCGAGCAACUGCAAAAGUGCAUCGAGAGUAUCGUUAAGAGGGGAAGACAACACGGCAGCACCGUCAAUAUCGAGUACAAGAAGUUGUGCACCAACGAGAAGAAUAUGAUUCUCAAGGACGGCCAGAGAUUGAUUAGGCAUUUCUUCGGUUCGCGCAAAACUGACCUUUAAAGCGUUCGCCGUUAUUGUGGCUUCGAUCGCUUCUACUAGUGCACAAAGCUGCCUUAUGUAAUCCAUCAUGCACCAAUCCUCUUGGAAUUUCUGUACAAAUGGCUGGACUUAGA